rfam:Lupinus angustifolius cultivar Tanjil chromosome LG02, whole genome shotgun sequence.
GCCGAGUUGGAUAACUCUAGCUUGUAACCCAAGUGGGGGCAUCAAAGUGAUGGAACAUGGCUAUGGUUCACUUGGUUGGGGUGAUUGUUGCACCUUGCUGGCUUGCCCACUCCAAGUUGAGAGUUGAGGUAUGGUGUUUGGGCGAAGGCUCAGGUGUCAUGACUCCUAGACGAGAGGGCAAAGCGUGAGGCUGGUUUCACAGAGCAGCGAUCACCUCUGGCUCUUGACAGUGGAGGGAUUACAAGCUGCUGCACCUUCAUCCCACAAUGCCUUGUGAGCCAAGCUUCUGAACCAUCACUUUU